rnacentral:rRNA from 1 species
UACGUAGGGUGCGAGCGUUGUCCGGAAUUACUGGGCGUAAAGGGCGCGUAGGCGGCCUUCUAAGUCAGACGUGAAAUCCCCGGGCUCAACCCGGGAACUGCGUCUGAUACUGGAAGGCUUGAAUCCGGGAGAGGGAUGUGGAAUUCCAGGUGUAGCGGUGAAAUGCGUAGAUAUCUGGAGGAACACCGGUGGCGAAGGCGGCAUCCUGGACCGGUAUUGACGCUGAGGCGCGAAAGCCAGGGGAGCAAACGGG